UAUCUCAGUCCCAAAAUCCUCCACCCUCAAAUUCUUCGUCUUCCCACCUUACAUCAUUAAACAUGGAAAACGCAUGUUCCAUUUUGUUAGUCACGGGGAUGUUCUGCAUGAUUUUCAGUUUUGUUUUAGUUAUCAGAUCAAUCAGAAUUGCAAAACUCAAAUUAGUUCUCACAUCAACAGGGAUUGCAAAACUCAAAUUACGGGAUACCAGACUGUCCAGACUAACAAAGUUCAGAGAUGCCACUCAAGUUCACCUCAGCAAUCAUUAUUAUUGGAUCUCCUAAGAAGAAAUAAACAUAAGCCUAAACCCUUGAAAAUGAACUGGACCUCUAUAUAUUUCCUUCUCAAUUUUGAUGUUAAGGGUUUCUUCUCAUUUUUUAUACGAAACUUAGAUUGUACCAGUUGAAUCUUUGAUUAUAAUUGUUACCACUUGAAUUUUAAUUGGCACCAAGGUGUUACAUUGUCCUACACUAACUAUUUGAAUAAGAACAUCAGUUGGGGAUUAUUUUUGAAA